AUGCUCACUUCAGCAGCACAUGUACUAAAAUUGGAACGAUACAGAGAAGAUUAGCAUGACCCCUGCAUAAGGAUGAUGUGCAAAUUCAUGAAGUGUUCCAUGUUUAA